rnacentral:tRNA from 1 species
GCUCGUGUAGCUCAGGGGUAGAGCACACCCUUGGUAAGGGUGAGGUCGGCGGUUCAAAUCCGCCCACGAGCU